rnacentral:rRNA from 1 species
AAUCAACGCUGGCGGCGUGCCUCAGACAUGCAAGUCGAACGCGAAAGUCCCCUUCGGGGGAUGAUUAGAGUGGCGCACGGGUGAGUAACACGUAGGUAAUCUACCUUCGAGUGGGGAAUAACUCAGGGAAACUUGAGCUAAUACCGCAUAAUGCAGCGGCACCACAUGGUGACAGUUGUUAAAGCAUUUAUGCGCUUGAAGAGGAGCCUGCGGCGGAUAGCUAGUUGGUAAGGUAAUGGCUUACCAAGGCUACGAUCUGUAACCGGCCUGAGAGGGCGGACGGUCACACUGACACUGAAUAACGGGU